AUUCCAGCUGAUCCUGCUGGCGGAUACUGCUAUUGAAGUCCGAUUAAGCCAUGCAAGUCUAAGAGUCCAGCUAUGGGGGCUCUGGCGUACUGCUCAGUAACACGUAGCUAAUCUACCCUCAAGAAGAGCAAAACCCGGGAAACUGGGCAUAAUGCUCUAUAAGCAGAGGAUACUGGAAUGUUCCUUUGCUUAAAUGAAGUGCACCAUGCAAGCACUUUGCUUGAGGAUGAGGCUGCGGCGGAUUAGGCUGUUGGCGGGGUAACUGCCCACCAAACCUUUGAUCCGUACGGGCCUUGAGAGAGGGAGCCCGGAGAAGGGUACUGAGAUAAGGACCCUAGCCCUACGGGGUGCAGCAGGCGCGAAACCUCUGCAAUGCGCGAAAGCGUGACAGGGGGACUUCGAGUGCUAGCUUGCUAGCUUUUGCCAAGCCUAAAAAGCUUGGCGAAUAAGUGCUGGGUAAGAUGCGUGCCAGCCGCCGCGGUAAUACGUACAGCACAAGUGGUAUCCCCUUAUAUUGGGCCUAAAGCGUGUGUAGCCGGUUCUAAUAGUCUUUGGUGAAAUCAAGGGGCUUAACCCAUUGGCUUGCCAAAGAUACUUUAAAACUCGAGGUUGGUAGACGUGAAGGGAAUUUCUGGGGUAGCAGUGAAAUGUUGUGAUCCCAGAAGGACCACCAGUAGCGAAGGCGCUUCACGAGGACAAGCCUGACGGUGAGACACGAAAGCUGAGGGAGCGACCCGGAUUAGAUACCCGGUUAGUCUCAGCCGUAAACGAUGUGGACUAGGUGUCCUAGUACUCAUGUAGUACGGGGGUGCCGAAGCGAAGGCGCUAAGUCCACCGCCUGGGAAGUAUACUCGCAAGGGUGAAACUUAAUGGAAUUGGCGGGGGCGCACUACAAGGGGUGGAUGCUGCGGUUUAAUUGGAUAAAACGCCAGACAACUCACCAGGGGCGACAGUAGAAUGAUGGACAGUCUAAAGGGCUUUCCUGACACGCUGAGAGGUGUUGUAUGGUCAUCGUCAGCUCGUACUAUGAAGCGUCCUGUCAACUCAGGCAACGGGCGAGACCCAUGCCAUUAGUUGCAAUUCUGUCUUUUGACAGGAGCACUCUAAUGGGACUGCAGUGGCAACACUGAGGAAGGAAUGGUCAACGAUAGAUCUGUAUGGCCCGAAUCUCCUGGGCUACACGCGGCAUACAAUGGUUGAGACAAUGAGUUCCUAGCCCGAAAGGGUACGGUAAUCCCCAAAACUCAACCACAGUUCGGAUCGAGGGUUGUAACCCACCCUCGUGAAGUUGGAAUCCCCAGUAAUCGGAAGUCAUUAUCUUCCGGUGAAUAAGUCCCUGCGCCUUGCACACACCGCCCAUCAAGCCAGCCGAGUAGAGUUCGGAUGAGCCUCAUUUCAUUGGAGUGAUGCGAUUCUGAGUUUUGCGAGGCGGGCUAAGUUGUAACAAGGUGUCCGUAGGGGAACCUGCGGACGGAUCACCUCCU
rfam:Archaeon GW2011_AR10 chromosome, complete genome.